rnacentral:rRNA from 1 species
GGGGAAUAUUGGACAAUGGGGGCAACCCUGAUCAAGCAAUGCCGCGUGUGUGAAGAGGGUCUUCGGAUUGUAAAGCACUUUCGACGGGGACGAUGAUGACGGUACCCGUAGAAGAAGCCCCGGCUAACUUCGUGCCAGCAGCCGCGGUAAUACGAAGGGGGCUAGCGUUGCUCGGAAUGACUGGGCGUAAAGGGCGCGUAGGCGGCUUGUACAGUCAGAUGUGAAAUUCCUGGGCUUAACCUGGGGGCUGCAUUUGAUACGUGCGGGCUAGAGUGUGAAAGAGGGUCGUGGAAUUCCCAGUGUAGAGGUGAAAUUCGUAGAUAUUGGGAAGAACACCGGUGGCGAAGGCGGCGACCUGGUUCAUGACUGACGCUGAGGCGCGAAAGCGUGGGGAGCAAA